ACCACAUGCAGGUCCACCCUGGCAGCCCCCAGUGCCAUAGCAGCCUGAGGGCACCCCAGCCUGGAAGCUAAACAGGGUCUGGCCUGGCUGGGGCUUGGAAUGGGGACUACCUGGGGAGACCGAGGGCUGGAGGCU
ensembl:rRNA 5S_rRNA 5S ribosomal RNA